rnacentral:lncRNA from 1 species
GCCAGGUUGGUCUCGAACUCCUGACCUCAAAUGAUCCGCCCGCCUUGGCCUCCCAGAAUGCUGGGAUUACAGGCGUGAGCCACCGCGCGAGGCCGACAACUGGUAUCUUAAGGCUUAGGGCCUCUGGUAGAAGUGAGCUCCACCUCCCUUCCUGUGUAGAAGGAAUCACCUGGCGGUCUUGUGAAACUGCAGCUUCUAAUGAGCAAGUCAGAGGGGAAGCCUGAGACGUGGCAUUUCCAGCACGUUCGGGGAGUGAAGAUGCUGUCGGCUGCCACCCUCCCUGCAAGGAGCCAGGGGAUAGAUGACCUCUACGCAAACUCUCCCCUCAAUGGGAAGUGGAAUCUCUUUCUCCACCUCUUCAAUAUGGCUGGCCCUGGAACUUCCCUUGGCACACAGAAUGCAGCAGAAUUGGCUUCAUAUUGUUUCUAAGCCUUGGCCUCAGAGGCCUUGCAUGCUUCCUAACCCUGGCUCUAGGAAACUUGCUGCUGUCAUGUAAUCAAGCCCAGGCUAACCUGCUGAAUGUUGGUGUGUCCCAGUCAAAUCCAGCACUGCAACCAAUAGCCAGCCAGCCACCAGACAUGUGAGUGGGGCCACCUCACACCAGCCAACCUCCACCAAGUCAUCAGAUGUAUGAGUGAGAACAGCCCAGAACAACUGAGCCCGUCCAGACCAGCGGAACGACCAAGCUGACCAGUAGACUUAGGAGCAGUAAACAGAUGAUUGUUCUGGAAGCCAUUCCGUUUAGGGUGUGUGUGUUAUUGCUUGCAUCCAAAUACAUCCUAUCUCAUCUAGUGAGAAAAGGCCCCGCUCAAGGGCUUUUGCAGCUGUAGUUGGGCGCCGGAAGUGUCUUUGUGGUCAUUUCUUACUCCAUACACGGGGAGAUCAAGGCUCAGACCAGGUAAUGUGACUGUGGAUGACACUUUCCUUACCCCUCUGUGGCACUUGAAUCAAUGAAGCAGAUUCACAGAAGCAUGCAUGCUCACUGAACACAGUAUUUGCAUUCCUACCUCCAGACCUUUGCUCCACCCAUGCAUCCAGUAAGAAUGCCUGCUUCCCUCCUCUCCUCCAUCGAGUUCUUUCUUUGAGUUCUACCUUCCCUAGUCUUCCUCCACUGCACCAACCCACGGUGAUCCCUG